UGGAUCGGUGAUGACCAGUGGUGGUGUAUGAUUCAUGGAUCAUGACUAAUUCUGGGAGCCUGAGGUCCAC
ensembl:snoRNA